AUACGUAGGGGGCGAGCGUUGUCCGGAAUGAUUGGGCGUAAAGGGCGCGUAGGCGGCCCGGUAAGUCUGGAGUGAAAGUCCUGUUUUUGAGAUGGGAAUUGCUUUGGAUACUGUCGGGCUUGAGUGCAGGAGAGGUAAGUGGAAUUCCCAGUGUAGCGGUGAAAUGCGUAGAUAUGCCACAGAACGCCGAUAGCGGAGGCAGCUCGCCAGGCCUGCAUUGACGCUCGGGCACGAAAGCGUGGGGAUCGAACAGGAUUAGAUACCCUGGUAGUCCACGCCGUAAACGAUGGGCGCUCGUCGUCGGCGACAGACAGUCGGCGGCCAAGCGAAAGCGAUAAGCGCCCCACCUGGGGAGUACGGUCGCAAGGCUGAAACUCAAAUGAAUUGACGGGG
rnacentral:rRNA from 1 species